rnacentral:rRNA from 1 species
GCUCGUGGAUCGAUGAAGACCGCAGCUAAAUGCGCGUCAGAAUGUGAACUGCAGGACACAUGAACACCGACAAGUUGAACGCAUAUUGCACAUCGUACAACAGUACGAUGUACACAUUUUUGAGUGCCUAUAUUUAUCCAUUCAACUGUGCCCGCUCGGUCCGCCCGGGUGGGUACGCAUCAUGGUGUUUUGCUGCCUUCGGUGGCUUGGUAAAACACUUAAGACUCUCCAGUCCCAAAGGAGACACGACGGACGACCCCUGCGGUCGCCGGCCCCUUGGACGCGAGAUACAUCCCACGCAUUCACCAACCUGGCUUGGGCGCGAUGUACAUCUCGAUAAGCGUCCGGCUCGGUGGCAGCAGCGUCCACAUCCAUAUGAUAUGUAGGCCUCAAAUAAUGUGUGACUACCCCCUAAAUUUAAGCA